CACAAUUUCUCUUCAGUAUUUGUUUGAUCAAGACGCGGUGGUUCUGCGAGGGGAUGACUCAAUAUUUUAGCGUCCCCCGAGGAAAGAAAGACAUCUUGCUAAAACCAGCUGCUUGAUAAAGUCAAGUGUCAAGCGUCGCUAUCAUUCAAAAGUGUACUGUUAUCUCUGGCCCACGAGAUAUUCAUACAGGAAUAUUGCCAAUAGGAAGGAAGAGCCAGGUGAAAUUCGGCAAUGAUUUAUUAAUAUCCGCUACAAAAGAUACCACAUCGGCAGAGGGCGCCAGUAUUAUCCUAUAAAAGAUCUCAAACAACCAGGCUCUCACCAUAUUACCUUCUGGAGUUUUCAAGAGAAAAAAAGGCGCGCCGAAGCUUUCUAAUCAACAGCCUUUUUAAGACCACAUAUCAGACAAAGAAUGAGGAACUGCAGUGUCAUUUUUGUUUCUGUUUUUGCUCUCUUUAUACUAGUGAGUCAAGUCAGGUGUUUUAUGCCUCAUAUUUUUCAAACUCCAUCACCUAGCAAGGAUCGAAGAAGUGAAAUUAUGAUGAAGAGGACAAUUCGCGACUUUUGCAGUACAGCCAAAUUAUACUGUGAAACGAAGACAAAGGAGUUUGACUGGAAAUCAACCAACAAUGGCCGGGAAGAAUGCGUUCGUUAGAAUUAAUGCUGAUGCACAGAAAACAAGAGCAGUUUGAAAUUAAAUAUAUGAUUUCGAAGAAGACCUAAAUAAAGUAUUCAAAUAGUUUCUUAUUGUUCUUUGAUGUAAAAACCGUGUGGUCAAUUGGUCAUGACGGGUUCUAAUAUGUUGUGAUUAUUUAUGUAUCUUUAAUGACAACUAUUAAAAUAUUUUUCUUACAAGAAACAAAAAUUUUAUCGGUUUUGAAAUUGCACAGUACGUGGAAUUAAUGGAAUCAAUUCAUCAAUUACUACUAUCUUACCUAAAGGUGGGUGAAAGUCACUGUUUUUUCCCCAUUAAGUAUAUGGCUACACUAGGAAUCAAAGGACCUACUUUGUCAUCUAAAUAAACUAAAGUGAUUUUGCAAAAUAUUGUUACGUUAGCAAUUGAUAGAUAUCAAUAAAAGUAGAAGACUUCA